rnacentral:rRNA from 1 species
UACGAAGGGGGGCUAGCGUUGCUCGGAAUCACUGGGCGUAAAGGGUGCGUAGGCGGGUCUUUAAGGUCAGGGGUGAAAUCCUGGAGCUCAACUCCAGAACUGCCUUUGAUACUGAGGAUCUUGAGUUCGGGAGAGGUGAGUGGAACUGCGAGUGUAGAGGUGAAAUUCGUAGAUAUUCGCAAGAACACCAGUGGCGAAGGCGGCUCACUGGCCCGAUACUGACGCUGAGGCACGAAAGCGUGGGGAGCAAACAGG